CGGGGUGUAGCGCAGUUGGUAGCGCGCUUGGUUCGGGACCAAGAGGUCGUGGGUUCAAAUCCCGUCACUCCGACCA
rnacentral:tRNA from 2 species